rnacentral:lncRNA from 1 species
CGGGGCGUGUUUUGCGCGGGGAGGCGAACCAACCGAGCUGCACAAGCGGUGUUGAGCAACACCGGUUAUAAAUUUGCAACCACACAUAGCACACGCACUCACACAGACGCACAGCACGGCACGCACGCACACGCUCACUGUCCGGGGGAGGGCAAUAUCAAAAAGGGGGGAUUGCCAGAUGGCCGGAAACUUGGCGUCUCUGCACCCAAGCUUACCGACCACCAGCCAGCAGCAACCGGGAUGCUGCUUCACUUGGUCUGCCCGGUUUGGCUUCUCGCCACCACACACCGGGCAGAAACCACCCCCCCGGACCAGCAACCAACCUGAAUCAACACAGCACUUGCACCCCAACAAAGAGGAAAGGCCCCCAUGUCGUCCGCCAAAGCAACAAACGCUGAAAGAAAGGAGAGGGGUGGGCGGGCGGGCAACAAAAGAGAGCGCCAGCAAGCGCACGCGGCCUCCGAACCAGGAACUCGAUAGCUUUCAGAAGCACGGCGGCAUAAGUUGCUCGCUCAUCAGCUACCGUACGCAAACGUAACUUAAUAAAACAAACCACACAGAAAGACAGCAUUUGAGACCUCGAUGUGAUGCAUGCGGCCUUCAGAGCGACACACGAAACCCCGGGCCCUGCACUUCUUACCCCCUGCAACUGAACCACCUCCCGCUCAAACACUGCUCCCUACUUCAAAACUUGUUUUAAGCUCCGGUCAGUCGGCAAGCUCCUGGAGCCUUCGCUUAAAACAGCCCUUUGAGAUACGGGGCGUGUUUUGCGCGGGGAGGCGAACCAACCGAGCUGCACAAGCGGUGUUGAGCAACACCGGUUAUAAAUUUGCAACCACACAUAGCACACGCACUCACACAGACGCACAGCACGGCACGCACGCACACGCUCACUGUCCGGGGGAGGGCAAUAUCAAAAAGGGGGGAUUGCCAGAUGGCCGGAAACUUGGCGUCUCUGCACCCAAGCUUACCGACCACCAGCCAGCAGCAACCGGGAUGCUGCUUCACUUGGUCUGCCCGGUUUGGCUUCUCGCCACCACACACCGGGCAGAAACCACCCCCCUCACCAGUUCCCUCUCAUUCACCCCAAAAGCAAUUACACUGCGCACAUCAUGCGUUUGGUUUGUGCGACACCGCUUCUGUGGAACACGAACACACCCGGACACUAGCACACAGACGCUCCCCCGGCAGACCGGAAAAACCAUGGCGGGGAGCAUACGCCCGUCCGCCAUGCCGUCUGCCGGCCUGACCCCCCACACCAGUUCCUGCGUACUGCAUUGCUGCUUCUGCAUGGCUGCUCCGGCGCCGCCGCUCCUGUGGGAUGCCCCUUCCCGAACCGCUGCGGCAGUGAGCACCGCCGCAGCCGCAGCCAUCCGUUCGGCCUUCCCCCAUGUCUUCCGCGCCGCAGCUGCGGCAGUGAGCACCGCCGCAGCUAUGCACUGCCUCGGCUCCUCGCCUAUCCCUGUACCCUCUCCCCAUGUCCCCAAAACCAAAGCUGCGGCAGUGAGCACCGCCGCAGCUAAGCACCGCCCCCCCGCUGCAGCAACGCAUCGCCGCCCGCGCUGAUCCCGGUACGCUGUUGGUCUGCGGCCGCAUAUUCACGUCAAGCUAUCCGUCAUUCGUCGGCAGUUGGUCACCCGGAUGCUAAGCCGGGGGUGUUCGUCACCCAGACGACUUCCUGCUGGGGGAGUUUGUCGCCCAGACUCCUCCUGGGGGUCCAGUCACCCUGGGCGGGGGAGUUCGUCACCCAGACUCCUCCUGGGAGAGUUCGUCACCCAGACUCCUCCUGGGAGAGUUCGUCACCCAGACUCCUCCUGGGAGAGUUCGUCACCCAGACUCCUCCUGGGAGAGUUCGUCACCCAGACUCCUCCUGGGCCUGCCGCGGCCGCAGACUACAUGAUCUGUCGACGCGGUUUCGCCCGCUGCGGCUGGUGCUGCUGACCACUCCGUGCCGGAUCUCUCUCAAACGAUAGUGCUCUCGCAUUUUCUGGCUGGUACUCGGCCUGCUGCUGCGCUCGCCUGCUUUGAUCCCCAGCUCGCCCUUGACCUGCAUUCAAAACGCCAAAGGGCCUCGCCAGCAGUGCAUGCCUCACAUCUUACCAGUCAACAAAAGAGAGCGCCAGCAAGCGCACGCGGCCUCCGAACCAGGAACUCGAUAGCUUUCAGAAGCACGGCGGCAUAAGUUGCUCGCUCAUCAGCUACCGUACGCAAACGUAACUUAAUAAAACAAACCACACAGAAAGACAGCAUUUGAGACCUCGAUGUGAUGCAUGCGGCCUUCAGAGCGACACACGAAACCCCGGGCCCUGCACUUCUUACCCCCUGCAACUGAACCACCUCCCGCUCAAACACUGCUCCCUACUUCAAAACUUGUUUUAAGCUCCGGUCAGUCGGCAAGCUCCUGGAGCCUUCGCUUAAAACAGCCCUUACCGCAGUCGACGGUGUAUUCAUGCUCCCGGGGUCUACCGUCUUGAUUGAGCUUGUUGUGUCGCCCUGGAGCUGAAAUUGGGCAUUUUGUGAAGGCUGCCUGGACACACGCGUUGCCCCGUCUGACACGUCGCUCAUCUCGUUCCCCCUUCCCUUCUUAA